rnacentral:rRNA from 1 species
GGGGAUAACGUAGGGAAACUUACGCUAAUACCGCAUACGACCUACGGGUGAAAGCGGAGGACCUUCGGGCUUCGCGCGAUUGAAUGAGCCGAUGUCGGAUUAGCUAGUUGGCGGGGUAAAGGCCCACCAAGGCGACGAUCCGUAGCUGGUCUGAGAGGAUGAUCAGCCACACUGGAACUGAGACACGGUCCAG